GACAGAGGUGCCAAGCGUUAGGCGGAAUCACUGGGCUUAAAGCGUGUGUAGGCGGAUCGUUAAGUACCUUGUGAAAUCCCACGGCUCAACCGUGGAACUGCUGGGUAUACUGGCGGUCUUGAGCCACCUAGGGGCAACUGGAACAAGCGGUGGAGCGGUGAAAUGCGUAGAUAUCGCUUGGAACGCCAAUGGUGAAAACAGGUAGCUGGGAGUGUGCUGACGCUGAGACACGAAAGCCAGGGGAGCGAACGGG
rnacentral:rRNA from 1 species